GGAUGUGACGUGUGCCAGUGGCGUACUCCCUGCCCCCAGAUAGGUACUUGUACGCCUAGGGAAAGACGCUGCUAGGUGCUGCUGCUAAAUCCCUGUGGUUUCUGCCAGCCACAUGCGGCCAUUGCGGGCUCACGCAGGUUCGUUCGCGUGGUCUUGUUACGCCUCGCUGGAUCGUGUUCAGUCAUGCCGUCCUUGCGCGGCGUGAUUGUCGGUGAGUCAGGUUAAAUUCUUAAAUAGGUCGCGCCUGCGCCUAAUUGAGUCUAUAAAAGCCUGCACAUUCAGUUUUGCUAGCUACAAUGCAGUGCGGCUGGCGUGAGCUGUCUCCACGAUGCGCUUCGAUCGUGUCGAUUUCGCCGUUCUGUAUGUUGGCGUUAACGACCUUGAAUGCAACAUGGAUCCACAAGAAAUGUGCGACAACAUCAAGGCCUUGAUUGUUCAACGAGACGGCCCCCGUCGUGCUGGUUUUCAAGGUGCUCCCUCGCUGCCUAGAAGAUGCUGAUGUAUGUUGGCGUUAACGACCUUGAAUGCAACAUGGAUCCACAAGAAAUGUGCGACAACAUCAAGGCCUUGAUUGUUCAACGAGACGGCCCCCGUCGUGCUGGUUUUCAAGGUGCUCCCUCGCUGCCUAGAAGAUGCUGAUGCGGAAUAGAAAAUGCAAAAACGUCGCUUGCUCAACCGCAAAUUGACGGCUACGCUGAAGCGCAUGCCGUGUCUGCGGAAUUUGAACCCCGAGCUUUCCAGAGUUCCUUGGAAAAUCCUCCCAUGCACCUGCCAUGUACAUUGCCCUCCUCCUCGAUGUGGCGUGCAAGAUGGCAGCAGCAGCUGUGGGAACAGUUGAAGAGGCGAAGAAAGGUCCACUUUAUAAUAGGUUGUAUGUAAAUAAAACUGAUCGACCUCAA